GAUGAACGCUGACAGAAUGCUUAACACAUGCAAGUCUUUGGCGAAGCUGUGCUCGCACAGCCUAGCUAAGGCGGACGGGUGAGUAACGCGUAAGGAACUUGCUCUGCAGUCAGGGAUAACAGACGGAAACGACUGAUACGAACUGGUAAAGUCAGGCGGACCCAUGUCCAGCCUGUUGAAAAGUGUUGCUGCAGGAGGGCCUUGCGUCCUAUUAGCUUGUUGGUGGGGUAACGGCCCACCAAGGCGAUGAUAGGUAGCCGGCCUGAGAGGGUGGACGGCCACAAGGGGACUGAGAUACGGCCCUUACUCCUACGGGAGGCAGCAGUGGGGAAUAUUGGACAAUGGGGGCAACCCUGAUCCAGCAAUUCUGUGUGCACGAUGAAGGUUUUCGGAUUGUAAAGUGCUUUCAGCAGGGAAGAAAAAAAUGACGGUGCCUGCAGAAGAAGCGACGGCUAAAUACGUG
rnacentral:rRNA from 1 species